CGAGAAUCCUUGCAAUCCUCACGUGCCGAUCCAUGAAGAAGCUUUGCCUUUUCACACAAUAGAGAGCAUUUGGAGCUCAUGUUGCUCAGGACAUUACAAGUAAAGAACUCUACACUCUA